GAUGAACGCUGGCGGCGUGCCUAACACAUGCAAGUCGAGCGAAGCGCUGUUUUCAGAAUCUUCGGAGGAAGAGGACAGUGACUGAGCGGCGGACGGGUGAGUAACGCGUGGGCAACCUGCCUCAUACAGGGGGAUAACAGUUAGAAAUGACUGCUAAUACCGCAUAAGCGCACAGGACCGCAUGGUGUAGUGUGAAAAACUCCGGUGGUAUGAGAUGGACCCGCGUCUGAUUAGGUAGUUGGUGGGGUAAAGGCCUACCAAGCCGACGAUCAGUAGCCGACCUGAGAGGGUGACCGGCCACAUUGGGACUGAGACACGGCCCAAACUCCUACGGGAGGCAGCAGUGGGGAAUAUUGCACAAUGGGGGAAACCCUGAUGCAGCGACGCCGCGUGAAGGAAGAAGUAUUUCGGUAUGUAAACUUCUAUCAGCAGGGAAGAAGAUGACGGUACCUGAGUAAGAAGCACCGGC
rnacentral:rRNA from 1 species